rnacentral:rRNA from 1 species
GGGUUGUGAGGUUAAGCGACUAAGCGUACACGGUGGAUGCCCUGGCAGUCAGAGGCGAUGAAGGACGUGCUAAUCUGCGAUAAGCGUCGGUAAGGUGAUAUGAACCGUUAUAACCGGCGAUUUCCGAAUGGGGAAACCCAGUGUGUUUCGACACACUAUCAUUACGUGAAUACAUAGCGUAAUGAAGCGAACCGGGGGAACUGAAACAUCUAAGUACCCCGAGGAAAAGAAAUCAACCGAGAUUCCCCCAGUAGCGGCGAGCGAACGGGGAGCAGCCCAGAGUCUGAAUCAGCUUGUGUGUUAGUGGAACGGUCUGGAAAGUCCGACGGUACAGGGUGAUAGUCCCGUACACCAAAAUGCACAGGUUGUGAACUCGAAGAGUAGGGCGGGACACGUGGUAUCCUGUCUGAAUAUGGGGGGACCAUCCUCCAAGGCUAAAUACUCCUGACUGACCGAUAGUGAACCAGUACCGUGAGGGAAAGGCGAAAAGAACCCCGGCGAGGGGAGUGAAAAAGAACCUGAAACCGUGUACGUACAAGCAGUGGGAGCCUCUUUAUGGGGUGACUGCGUACCUUUUGUAUAAUGGGUCAGCGACUUAUAUUCUGUAGCAAGGUUAACCGUAUAGGGGAGCCGAAGGGAAACCGAGUCUUAACUGGGCGUUAAGUUGCAGGGUAUAGACCCGAAACCCGGUGAUCUAGCCAUGGGCAGGUUGAAGGUUGGGUAACACUAACUGGAGGACCGAACCGACUAAUGUUGAAAAAUUAGCGGAUGACUUGUGGCUGGGGGUGAAAGGCCAAUCAAACCGGGAGAUAGCUGGUUCUCCCCGAAAGCUAUUUAGGUAGCGCCUCGUGAAUUCAUCUUCGGGGGUAGAGCACUGUUUCGGCUAGGGGGUCAUCCCGACUUACCAACCCGAUGCAAACUGCGAAUACCGAAGAAUGUUAUCACGGGAGACACACGGCGGGUGCUAACGUCCGUCGUGAAGAGGGAAACAACCCAGACCGCCAGCUAAGGUCCCAAAGUCAUGGUUAAGUGGGAAACGAUGUGGGAAGGCACAGACAGCCAGGAUGUUGGCUUAGAAGCAGCCAUCAUUUAAAGAAAGCGUAAUAGCUCACUGGUCGAGUCGGCCUGCGCGGAAGAUGUAACGGGGCUAAACCAUGCACCGAAGCUGCGGCAGCGACACUAUGUGUUGUUGGGUAGGGGAGCGUUCUGUAAGCCGUUGAAGGUGUGCUGUGAGGCAUGCUGGAGGUAUCAGAAGUGCGAAUGCUGACAUAAGUAACGAUAAUGCGGGUGAAAAACCCGCACGCCGGAAGACCAAGGGUUCCUGUCCAACGUUAAUCGGGGCAGGGUGAGUCGACCCCUAAGGCGAGGCCGAAAGGCGUAGUCGAUGGGAAACAGGUUAAUAUUCCUGUACUUGGUGUUACUGCGAAGGGGGGACGGAGAAGGCUAUGUUAGCCGGGCGACGGUUGUCCCGGUUUAAGCAUGUAGGCGGAGGUUCCAGGUAAAUCCGGUACCUUUUAACGCUGAGGUGUGAUGACGAGGCACUACGGUGCUGAAGUAACAAAUGCCCUGCUUCCAGGAAAAGCCUCUAAGCAUCAGGUAACACGAAAUCGUACCCCAAACCGACACAGGUGGUCAGGUAGAGAAUACCAAGGCGCUUGAGAGAACUCGGGUGAAGGAACUAGGCAAAAUGGUGCCGUAACUUCGGGAGAAGGCACGCUGAUAUGUAGGUGAAGUGAUUUACUCAUGGAGCUGAAAUCAGUCGAAGAUACCAGCUGGCUGCAACUGUUUAUUAAAAACACAGCACUGUGCAAACACGAAAGUGGACGUAUACGGUGUGACGCCUGCCCGGUGCCGGAAGGUUAAUUGAUGGGGUUAUCCGUAAGGAGAAGCUCUUGAUCGAAGCCCCGGUAAACGGCGGCCGUAACUAUAACGGUCCUAAGGUAGCGAAAUUCCUUGUCGGGUAAGUUCCGACCUGCACGAAUGGCGUAAUGAUGGCCAGGCUGUCUCCACCCGAGACUCAGUGAAAUUGAACUCGCUGUGAAGAUGCAGUGUACCCGCGGCAAGACGGAAAGACCCCGUGAACCUUUACUAUAGCUUGACACUGAACACUGGUCCUUGAUGUGUAGGAUAGGUGGGAGGCUUUGAAGUGUGGACGCCAGUCUGCAUGGAGCCAUCCUUGAAAUACCACCCUUUAAUGGCUGGUGUUCUAACGUGGACCCGUUACCCGGGUUGCGGACAGUGUCUGGUGGGUAGUUUGACUGGGGCGGUCUCCUCCUAAAGAGUAACGGAGGAGCACGAAGGUUAGCUAAUCCUGGUCGGACAUCAGGAGGUUAGUGCAAAGGCAUAAGCUAGCUUGACUGCGAGAGUGACGGCUCGAGCAGGUGCGAAAGCAGGUCUUAGUGAUCCGGUGGUUCUGAAUGGAAGGGCCAUCGCUCAACGGAUAAAAGGUACUCCGGGGAUAACAGGCUGAUACCGCCCAAGAGUUCAUAUCGACGGCGGUGUUUGGCACCUCGAUGUCGGCUCAUCACAUCCUGGGGCUGAAGUAGGUCCCAAGGGUAUGGCUGUUCGCCAUUUAAAGUGGUACGCGAGCUGGGUUUAGAACGUCGUGAGACAGUUCGGUCCCUAUCUGCCGUGGGCGCUGGAGAAUUGAGGGGGGCUGCUCCUAGUACGAGAGGACCGGAGUGGACGCAUCACUGGUGUUCGGGUUGUCAUGCCAAUGGCAUUGCCCGGUAGCUAAAUGCGGAAGAGAUAAGUGCUGAAAGCAUCUAAGCACGAAACUUGCCCCGAGAUGAGUUCUCCCUGAGACUUUAAGUCUCCUGAAGGAACGUUGAAGACGACGACGUUGAUAGGUCGGGUGUGUAAGUGUAGCGAUACAUUGAGCUAACCGAUACUAAUGAACCGUGAGGCUUAACCUUACAACGCCGAAG